UGGGGGAUAUUAGGUAAUGGGGGAAACCCUGACCUAGCAACGCCGCGUGAAGGAAGAAGGUCUUCGGAUUGUAAACUUCUUUGACGAGGGACGAUAAUGACGGUACCUCGAAAACAAGCCACGGCUAACUACGUGCCAGCAGCCGCGGUAAUACGUAGGUGGCAAGCGUUGUCCGGAUUUACUGGGUGUAAAGGGCGUGUAGGCGGAAUGGCAAGUCAGAUGUGAAAUACGGGAGCUUAACUCCCGGGCUGCAUUUGAAACUGCUGUUCUUGAGUGAUGGAGAGGUAAGCGGAAUUCCCGGUGUAGCGGUAAAAUGCGUAGAUAUCGGGAGGAACACCAGUGGCGAAGGCGGCUUACUGGACAUUAACUGACGCUGAGGCGCGAAAGUGUGGGGAGCAAACA
rnacentral:rRNA from 1 species